rnacentral:rRNA from 1 species
CACGUAGGCACCAAGCGUUGUCCGGAUUUAUUGGGCGUAAAGAGCUCGUAGGCGGUUGAGUAAGUCGGGUGUGAAAACUCUGGGCUUAACCCAGAGCCGCCACUCGAUACUGCUCUGACUUGAGUUCGGUAGGGGAGCAGGGAAUUCCUAGUGUAGCGGUGAAAUGCGCAGAUAUUAGGAGGAACACCGGUGGCGAAGGCGCUGCUCUGGGCCGAAACUGACGCUGAGGAGCGAAAGCGUGGGUAGCAAACGUG